GACCCGAACCCGAAUAGGAUGGAUAGGAACCGGCGUAAUGGGCGGCGCCAUGGCCGCUCGCCUUCUCUCCGCUGGCUAUUCCGUCACAAUCUACGCUCGACAUCCUUCUAAAGUUGUUCAUCUUCAAACACAGGGUGCACUUCUUGCUGAUUCCCCAUCUGAUCUUGCGGGUAAUAGUGAUGUUAUUUUCACUAUGUUGGGACACCCAUCAGAUGUUCGACAAAUUGUCUUAGAGAGCUUGAUUUCAUCUCUUAAUCCUAAUAGCGUUAUCAUUGAUCAUACCAGCAGUCACCCAGUCCUCGCUAAGCAAAUCUUUGAUGCCGCCCGAGAGAAGAAUAGCUGGGCUGUUGAUGCCCCUGUGUCUGGAGGAGAUAUUGGGGCGAGGGAAGGGAAAUUGGCAAUUUUGGCUGGUGGAAAUGAGGAUGUGGUGAAGUGGUUAAACCCUUUGUUUGAUGUGUUGGGUAAAGCGACAUUUGUGGGUGGACCAGGAAAGGGACAGAGCUGUAAAAUUGCGAAUCAGAUUGUUGUUGGGGCGAACUUGAUGGGUUUGAGUGAAGGAUUGGUGUUUGCGGAGAAGGCGGGGUUGGAUAAGAGGAAGUUUGUGGAGGCAGUGAAGGUCGGAGCAGCUGGUUCUAUGGUUAUGGAGUUGUUUGGAGAAAGAAUGAUUGGGAGAGACUUUAGGCCUGGUGGGUUUACAGAGUACAUGGUAAAGGAUUUGGGAAUGGGUUUAGAUGUCGGAGCAGAGGAGGGUGACGACGUUGUGGUUUUGCCUGGUGCUGCAUUGAAUAAGCAGCUGUUUUCUGCUAUGGUUGCUAAUGGAGAUGGGAAGCUUGGCACUCAAGGGCUUAUUACUGUUAUAGAGAGAAUCAAUGGCAAGUGAGAUUACGAAAUCUUAAUCUUGUGACAAUGUUCUUGUUGACUUGGGCAUCUUUGUAUCUCAUCGGUUGCAGAAGCGGACGUCAGCUGU
rnacentral:misc_RNA from 1 species